AUUGAACGCUGGCGGCAUGCUUUACACAUGCAAGUCGAACGGUAACAGGCCUUCGGGCGCUGACGAGUGGCGAACGGGUGAGUAAUGCAUCGGAACGUGCCCAGUCGUGGGGGAUAACGCAGCGAAAGCUGUGCUAAUACCGCAUACGAUCUGCGGAUGAAAGCGGGGGACCUUCGGGCCUCGCGCGAUUGGAGCGGCCGAUGUCAGAUUAGGUAGUUGGUGGGGUAAAGGCUCACCAAGCCAACGAUCUGUAGCUGGUCUGAGAGGACGACCAGCCACACUGGGACUGAGACACGGCCCAGACUCCUACGGGAGGCAGCAGUGGGGAAUUUUGGACAAUGGGCGCAAGCCUGAUCCAGCAAUGCCGCGUGCAGGAAGAAGGCCUUCGGGUUGUAAACUGCUUUUGUACGGAGCGAAAAGGCUCCCUCUAAUACAGGGGGCUCAUGACGGUACCGUAAGAAUAAGCACCGGCUAACUACGUGCCAGCCGCCGCCGUAA
rnacentral:rRNA from 1 species